GACGAACGCUGGCGGCGUGCCUAAUACAUGCAAGUAGAACGCACAGUUUAUACCGUAGCUUGCUACACCAUAGACUGUGAGUUGCGAACGGGUGAGUAGCGCGUAGGUAACCUGCCUGGUAGCGGGGGAUAACUAUUGGAAACGAUAGCUAAUACCGCAUAAUAUUAAUUAUUGCAUGAUAAUUAAUUGAAAGGUGCAAUUGCACCACUACCAGAUGGACCUGCGUUGUAUUAGCUAGUAGGUGAGGUAACGGCUCACCUAGGCGACGAUACAUAGCCGACCUGAGAGGGUGAUCGGCCACCCUGGGACUGAGACACGGCCCAGACUCCUACGGGAGGCAGCAGUAGGGAAUCUUCGGCAAUGGACGAAAGUCUGACCGAGCAACGCCGCGUGAGUGAAGAAGGUUUUCGGAUCGUAAAGCUCUGUUGUAAGAGAAGAACGGGUGUGAGAGUGGAAAGUUCACACUGUGACGGUAUCUUACCAGAAAGGGACGGCUAACUACGUG
rnacentral:rRNA from 1 species